GGCAGUUCUUGAGUGACACACCCUGGAAUCGGGCUUCCUCCUCUCUGGUUCUGGUGAGUCACCUGAGAACCACA
rfam:Myotis lucifugus cont2.17805, whole genome shotgun sequence.